GGGCGUAAAGAGCUCGUAGGCGGUUCUGUAAGUCUGGUGUGAAAACUCUGGGCUCAACCCGGAAACUCCACUCGAUACCGCUGAACUUGAGUACCGGAGGGGAGUGGGGAAUUCCUGGUGUAACGGUGAAAUGCGCAGAUAUCAAGAGGAACACCGGUGGCGAAGGCGCCUCUCUGGGCCGAUACUGACGCUGAGGAGCGAAAGCGUGGGUAGCAAACAGGAUUAGAUACCCUGGUAGUCCACGCCGUAAACGUUGGGCACUAGGUGUGGGCUCCAACCAACGGAAUCCGUGCCGUCGCUAACGCAUUAAGUGCCCCGCCUGGGGAGUACGGCCGCAAGGCUAAAACUCAAAGGAAUUGACGGGGCCCCGCACAAGCAGCGGAGCGUGUUGCUUAAUUCGAUGCGACGCGAAGAACCUUACCUGGGCUCGACAUGCAGAGAAAAGCCGUAGAGAUACUGUGUCCUUCGGGGCCUUGCACAGGUGGUGCAUGGCUGUCGUCAGCUCGUGUCGUGAGAUGUUGGGUUAAGUCCCGCAACGAGCGCAACCCUCGUCCUAUGUUGCCAGCGGGUAAUGCCGGGGACUCGUAGGAGACUGCCGGGGUCAACUCGGAGGAAGGUAAU
rnacentral:rRNA from 1 species